GAUGAAGAACGUAGCAAAAUGCGAUAAGUAAUGUGAAUUGCAGUAUUCAGUGAAUCAUCGAAUCUUUGAACGCACAUUGCGCCCGCCAGUAUUCUGGCGGGCAUGCCUGUUCGAGCGUCAUUUCAACCCUCAAGCACAGCUUGGUGUUGGGACUCGCGUUAAUUCGCGUUCCCCAAAUUGAUUGGCGGUCACGUCGAGCUUCCAUAGCGUAGUAGUAAAACCCUCGUUACUGGUAAUCGUCGCGGCCACGCCGUUAAACCCCAACUUCUGAAUGUUGACCUCGGAUCAGGUAGGAAUACCCGCUGAACUUAAGCAUAUCAAUAAGCGGAGGA
rnacentral:misc_RNA from 1 species